GAGUUUGAUUCUGGCUCAGGAUGAACGCUAGCUACAGGCUUAACACAUGCAAGUCGAGGGGCAGCAUUAUCUUAGCUUGCUAAGAUAGAUGGCGACCGGCGCACGGGUGAGUAACACGUAUCCAACCUUCCGGUUACUCGGGGAUAGGCUUUCGAAAGAAAGAUUAAUACCCGAUGUUGCGUAUCUUUCUCCUGAAAGAUACGCCAAAGGAUUCCGGUAACCGAUGGGGAUGCGUUCCAUUAGGCAGUUGGCGGGGUAACGGCCCACCAAACCUUCGAUGGAUAGGGGUUCUGAGAGGAAGGUCCCCCACAUUGGAACUGAGACACGGUCCAAACUCCUACGGGAGGCAGCAGUGAGGAAUAUUGGUCAAUGGACGCAAGUCUGAACCAGCCAAGUAGCGUGAAGGAUGACUGCCCUCUGGGUUGUAAACUUCUUUUAUACGGGAAUAACAUGAGGUACGCGUACCUUAUUGCAUGUACCG
rnacentral:rRNA from 1 species